AAACACACAUAUACAGUCAUACACGCACACACAGACAGACAUGCACACACACACAUACAUAUACAUAAAACAAACUCUAGCACUUUGGCCCUGUGCCACUGCAAAGUCCAAUCUUUGCGUAAAUCUAGUAAGCCGGACUGAGCCACACCGUGAACAAGCCCCCCACUCCUCAGGCCCAGGGCGUUAAAGGACCAGAGUGACUUCCACGCAGUGUGAGGUCUUCUCAAGACAUCAGUCUUCAGAGAAGGCCUGGGAAGGGGAGGAAGGAGCGGUCUAUGUUCUGGAGCCCACAGCUAAUCAGCCAGAGGGUCUUCAAUCAGAGAUAAUUUGGGGACAAAGAGAUUAGGCCCAUUUGAACUCAGAUAAAAUUCCGUUCCUGAGUCUCUGUCCCACACUCUCAAGGCAGCUGCAAGGCUGUCUCAGCGCCCUGCAGAGUUAUACUUUAACCAGCCCCUCAGAUAAGAGCUGUGAUAUUACUUAUGAACGUCUGAAUCUAAACAGAGGCGCAGGAAGUCAUAUCAGCGUGAGGUUCAGUGCAGCCUCCUGGGAAACUCAUUUCCUGAUUCUUCUCUGAGAUCCUCACUUUAACUGAAUUUAAUGUGUUUAUUUUUGUUAAUGACUACAGGAAAGCUGGAAUGAAUUUUGAGGUUAAAAGGGAAUUUGAAGAGCCAACCUGCAACUUUUACUUGCAAAAGGGCACAGGGACAUGCUUCGCGCGUGUGUCGCCGACUCUCCUGCACAGCACUUCACAGAACAAGAAAGGGCGGGGUGGGCUGGCUGUUGCCAGGCCUGCAGCACCCUGUGAUUCUUGGGAGGGGUUCAGAGAGACAGGCUGGAACAGGACCCAUCUCUGCUCUGUUUCAUAAACCACCGUGCGGAAGGGCCGGUGAGCACUGACUUAGUACAGAAGUGACAGGGAGGAGGAUGUAGAGGGAGGCAGCUGGUUUUGGAGGAGUGAAGUCAGUGGUGUGGCUUACCACCACGGAGCCCUCGUCCUGGGAAGAGGCAGAAAAGUGUCAGCAUUUCCUAUUCCCAGGUGGGGAUGGCGUGGUGCCAGUACCCUGCUGUGUAGGGAGGGAAGGGCCCUGGGGUCCGUCUUGGGAGCUGGACUCUGAGCUGUGGCAUCCAUGCAGGCCAAGAGGGUGGGCUGGAGAGCCUGGCGCUGCGUGUACUUCCUGAUUUUGCUGCUUACUAGCUCGAGACCUUGGCAAGAGAUGUAAGCACCCCAGGCUCCAGUUUCCCCAUGCGUAGAAGGCGCUAAUCAGAGGGUGGAAUGAAUUAAUCCACACAGAGCACUUGGUUGGUGCCAAUGGAGAGUCCUACGUAGGUGUCAGGGACCGUCAGCGCCCCUUCCUGAGUGUCGGAUCCAUCCCCACUGUGCCAUUCCUUUUGCAGUGGCCUUGUCUUUGGCCACCACCUUGUCUUGCCUGGACUACUGCAGCAUUCCCCAAAACAUCUGCUGGAAAAUACAUUCCCGCACGGUGCUCUGGCUUUUGUGAUGAGGCUCCAUCUCUCUGGCCUGGGGAGGUCCACCCCUCCUCUGCCAUGCCCGGCUUGGAGCGCCUUCACCCAGUGCUGGGGUCCCAAGACAGGGCAAGCCCUGUCCUACUGCUUGGCCUGCAGGACUCUGGCCUCUUGAGGGCAAGGGGCUGCCUGGCGUAUGCACCACUGUCCUCCAGAGACAGGCAGGGUGCUUGUGGCCGCUGAGCCGUCCUCCCGGAGCCUGGCACGUGGCCUUCCGGACAGCUAGCCCUCCGCCCAAGCCCCACUGCUUUGACCUCUGACCUGCUUCAUUACCCCCUGCACCGUCAGCUCCAUAUUCAUUGGCAAAUUUUGGGAGAUAAGAAAUUUUGUCUUACUUACAUUACUUUCACCUGAGCUUAACACUGGCAGAUAAAUGCUCAAGAAAUAACUAAGUAAAAUGUCUAAAGGCUGAUGAAUAUGCUUCAAUAACACCACAAUUCUGGCUCUGUAGUGAUCAUUCAGGUUGAAUAAUUACGUUUAGCUGCAAUCCUUUGUAGAAUUUGCUAGAAUAAAUAAAAAUAAUCCAAACACUGAGAUAGCUGGUAACUGGAUCAGUUGUCUGCUCUCUGGCCUACCCACCGUCUCACUGCCUCGGUGGUUGCUGAGGUGCUUGCAGAGCCGCUGAAUCACUACCCUGGGCCAUGCCUCGAACUCUGCCGCUCGGAUCCUAAUCUGCAGAUGGCAGAGCCGUGGGGGGGGGCUGCCCUGGGCAGUGAGGCUAGAGCCCACUGAGACCUGGCAGGAGGUUGGACAUCAGACGUGGCACAGAAGAAGCCAGAUCUGGUUUCCAGGACAGCCUCUUUGGACUAAGGGACAGUGGCUUCCUCAGUUCUUCAUCCAGCAUGACUGCCAUUCUCUCACACCCCUACUCAUCCAUUGUGACGUCACUUCAUGAUUCAUCAACCUGGAUUUCCCAGCAUGGCCCCGGCUCCAGCAGAGUGGAAUCACCUCCCUUCCCCAUGUGCGCACUUUGCCGGCCCGGCCGGUCUUCACCCCGCCCCUUCUAGCAGCGCACAUGCGCCGGCAGUUCUCAGCAAGGGACAGACACCCCAUCACCACAGCCAUUCAGAUACAGUGGAAUAAGCUUCUCUCGUGAACUAAAGAGCAAAUCUAGCAGAGACAGAGUUCAAUGCCGGCAACAUGAAAGGACUUCAAAAUGAAGCUAAACAAAGUGCAAUAAGCACACAGCGUAAAUCACAGGUUGAAGCUGUGUGUAAAUAUUAUACAGAAGACUAUCUUGGAAACUUUCAGGCCCUGAAAAACUCAAACUCACGAAUUCAGGUAACUCAUGCUUAAAAAGGCCCACAGUAAGCUGAAUUCUGCUCUGCGGCAGACAUUGCUAUAUUAAGGUCUUUUGUUUUUCUCCAUCAUGCUUGUAAAAGGCUGAUUUUAGGGGUCAAAUAAACUUGUAUUUAUGUAGUGACUAGCAUCA